UCCUGCCCAAUGACAAAGUUUAAAUGGCCGCGGUACCCUGACCGUGCUAAGGUAGCAUAAUCAUUUGCCUCUUAAUUGGUGGCUAGUAUGAAUGGACACACGCAAGUACCCCUGUCUCAUCAGCAUAUAUAAAAAUUACCAAUCAGGUGAAGAGGCCUGAAUGAAAUAAAAAGACAAAAAGACCCUAUGGAGCUUUAUUUAACACCUCAAUGCCACCAGCUAACACCAUCCCACUUUGAGCAAAUAAAUUUAGUUGGGGCGACUAAGGAAAACUAUAAAUCUUCCUCAUAAAAAAGAAAAUAAAUCCUCAUUGAUCCGUUAUACGAAUAAAGACACAGCUACCCUAGGGAUAACAGGCUAAUUCUUCUCGAGAGCCCAAAUUGACAGAAGAGAUUGGCACCUCGAUGUUGGCUUAGGGUUCCUACAGGGUGCAGAAGCCCUGUAAGUGGGUUUGUUCAACCCUUAAAACCCU
rnacentral:rRNA from 1 species